GGGCUGGCGGAGCUACCAUGCAGUCGAGCGGAACGACACUAACAAUCCUUCGGGUGCGUUAAUGGGCGUCGAGCGGCGGACGGGUGAGUAAUGCCUAGGAAAUUGCCUUGAUGUGGGGGAUAACCAUUGGAAACGAUGGCUAAUACCGCAUAAUGCCUACGGGCCAAAGAGGGGGAUCUUCGGACCUCUCGCGUCAAGAUAUGCCUAGGUGGGAUUAGCUAGUUGGUGAGGUAAUGGCUCACCAAGGCGACGAUCCCUAGCUGGUCUGAGAGGAUGAUCAGCCACACUGGAACUGAGACACGGUCCAGACUCCUACGGGAGGCAGCAGUGGGGAAUAUUGCACAAUGGGCGAAAGCCUGAUGCAGCCAUGCCGCGUGUAUGAAGAAGGCCUUCGGGUUGUAAAGUACUUUCAGUUGUGAGGAAGGGGGUAACGUUAAUAGCGUUAUCUCUUGACGUUAGCAACAGAAGAAGCACCGGCUAACUCCGUGCCAGCAGCCGCGGUAAUACGGAGGGUGCGAGCGUUAAUCGGAAUUACUGGGCGUAAAGCGCAUGCAGGUGGUUCAUUAAGUCAGAUGUGAAAGCCCGGGGCUCAACCUCGGAACUGCAUUUGAAACUGGUGAACUAGAGUGCUGUAGAGGGGGGUAGAAUUUCAGGUGUAGCGGUGAAAUGCGUAGAGAUCUGAAGGAAUACCAGUGGCGAAGGCGGCCCCCUGGACAGACACUGACACUCAGAUGCGAAAGCGUGGGGAGCAAACAGGAUUAGAUACCCUGGUAGUCCACGCCGUAAACGAUGUCUACUUGGAGGUUGUGGCCUUGAGCCGUGGCUUUCGGAGCUAACGCGUUAAGUAGACCGCCUGGGGAGUACGGUCGCAAGAUUAAAACUCAAAUGAAUUGACGGGGGCCCGCACAAGCGGUGGAGCAUGUGGUUUAAUUCGAUGCAACGCGAAGAACCUUACCUACUCUUGACAUCCAGAGAAGCCAGCGGAGACGCAAGUGUGCCUUCGGGAACUCUGAGACAGGUGCUGCAUGGCUGUCGUCAGCUCGUGUUGUGAAAUGUUGGGUUAAGUCCCGCAACGAGCGCAACCCUUAUCCUUGUUUGCCAGCGAGUAAUGUCGGGAACUCCAGGGAGACUGCCGGUGAUAAACCGGAAGAAAGGUGGGGACAACGUCAAGUCAUCAUGGCCCUUACGAAUAAGGGCUACCCACGUUGCUACAAUGGGCCCAAACGGAGGGCACCAAGCUUGCGGAUUUUGACCUAAUCCCAAAAAGUGCGUCGGAAACCGGGAUUGGAGUCCUGGAUCCGGC
rnacentral:rRNA from 1 species